CCUACGGGACGCAGCAGUGGGGAAUAUUGCACAAUGGGCGCAAGCCUGAUGCAGCCAUGCCGCGUGUAUGAAGAAGGCCUUCGGGUUGUAAAGUACUUUCAGCGAGGAGGAAGGCAUUAAGGUUAAUAACCUUGGUGAUUGACGUUACUCGCAGAAGAAGCACCGGCUAACUCCGUGCCAGCAGCCGCGGUAAUACGGAGGGUGCAAGCGUUAAUCGGAAUUACUGGGCGUAAAGCGCACGCAGGCGGUCUGUCAAGUCGGAUGUGAAAUCCCCGGGCUCAACCUGGGAACUGCAUUCGAAACUGGCAGGCUAGAGUCUUGUAGAGGGGGGUAGAAUUCCAGGUGUAGCGGUGAAAUGCGUAGAGAUCUGGAGGAAUACCGGUGGCGAAGGCGGCCCCCUGGACAAAGACUGACGCUCAGGUGCGAAAGCGUGGGGAGCAAACAGGAUUAGAUACC
rnacentral:rRNA from 1 species